rnacentral:rRNA from 1 species
UGGGGAAUUUUGGACAAUGGGGGAAACCCUGAUCCAGCCAUCCCGCGUGUGCGAUGAAGGCCUUCGGGUUGUAAAGCACUUUUGGCAGGAAAGAAACGUCGCGGGUUAAUACCCCGCGAAACUGACGGUACCUGCAGAAUAAGCACCGGCUAACUACGUGCCAGCGGCCGCGGUAAUACGUAGGGUGCAAGCGUUAAUCGGAAUUACUGGGCGUAAAGCGUGCGCAGGCGGUUCGGAAAGAAAGAUGUGAAAUCCCAGAGCUUAACUUUGGAACUGCAUUUUUAACUACCGGGCUAGAGUGUGUCAGAGGGAGGUGGAAUUCCGCGUGUAGCAGUGAAAUGCGUAGAUAUGCGGAGGAACACCGAUGGCGAAGGCAGCCUCCUGGGAUAACACUGACGCUCAUGCACGAAAGCGUGGGGAGCAAACAGGAUUAGAUACCCUGGUAGUCCACGCCCUAAACGAUGUCAACUAGCUGUUGGGGCCUUCGGGCCUUGGUAGCGCAGCUAACGCGUGAAGUUGACCGCCUGGGGAGUACGGUCGCAAGAUUAAAACUCAAAUGAAUUGACGGGG